rnacentral:rRNA from 1 species
CCUACGGGUGGCAGCAGUAGGGAAUAUUGGACAAUGGGGGGAACCCUGAUCCAGCGACGCCGCGUGAGUGAAGAAGUAUUUCGGUAUGUAAAGCUCUAUCAGCAGGGAAGAAAGAAAUGACGGUACCUGACUAAGAAGCCCCGGCUAACUACGUGCCAGCAGCCGCGGUAAUACGUAGGGGGCAAGCGUUAUCCGGAUUUACUGGGUGUAAAGGGAGCGUAGACGGUUACGCAAGUCUGGAGUGAAAGGCGGGGGCUCAACCCCCGGACUGCUUUGGAAACUGUAUAACUGGAGUGCAGGAGAGGUAAGUGGAAUUCCUAGUGUAGCGGUGAAAUGCGUAGAUAUUAGGAGGAACACCAGUGGCGAAGGCGGCUUACUGGACUGUAACUGACGUUGAGGCUCGAAAGCGUGGGGAGCAAACAGGAUUAGAUACCCCUGUAGUC